GACGAAGGGGGCUAGCGUUGUUCGGAAUUACUGGGCGUAAAGCGCGUGUAGGCGGUUGCCCAAGUCGGGUGUGAAAGCCUUGAGCUCAACUCAAGAAAUGCACUCGGUACUGGGUGACUAGAGGACCGGAGAGGAUAGUGGAAUUCCCAGUGUAGUGGUGAAAUACGUAGAGAUUGGGAAGAACACCAGUGGCGAAGGCGGCUAUCUGGAUGGUUUCUGACGCUAAGACGCGAAAGCAUGGGGAGCGAACAGG
rnacentral:rRNA from 1 species